rnacentral:rRNA from 1 species
UGAGGGAAAGCUGCAAAGUACUCUGAAGAGAGAGUUCAAAAGGACGUGAAGCCGUCUGCAGGGAAACGGGUAAGACCGCACGGUAGACCCGCGGCGGAUUCAGCUCCGGGGGUAACCUCGGGGUGCACUUCCGCGCCUGCGGGUCGCGCAGGGCCCGACUCGACGGCCGUCUGAAGCCCGGCGAGGAGGUGACGUGGAUCUUCGGAUCUGCGAGUUUAACUCGUCGGCGCGGAGACCGGCUGUUGGGUCGAGGAACGUCCAUCCGUCUUUGACGCGUGGG